rnacentral:lncRNA from 1 species
CUUAUUUCAUCAAUUAUCAGUUUGAGAUAUGUUUUACUUAACAAUUUGUAUUCUGCUGUAUUAAAAAAACUCAUUAUUCUGGAAUAAAUUCAGAUUUACAUAAAAGUUACAAAGAUAGUACAGAGAAUACUCGUAUGUCCUUUACCCAACAUCCCCCAAUGUUAACAUCUUACAUAACUACAGUACAUUUGUCACAACCAAGAAAUUAAUAUUGGAAUAAUACUAUUAACAAAAUUCCAGACUUUGUUUAGAUUUAGCCAAUUUUUUUCCACUCAUGUCCUUUUUUCACUGUCAAUCUGGGAUAUCACAUUGUAUUUAGUUGUCAUGUCUCCUUAGUCUUCUCUGUUCUGUAAAAGCUUCUCAGACUUUCCUUGUUUUUUCAGGUCCUUGAUACUUUUUAGUACUGGUCAAGUAUUUGUAGAAUGCCCUUUAUUAUUAUUAUUAUUUUUUUUUUCUGCUUAGAUUUAACACAUUCUAUCAGAGAGUACAUGAUAUCACCAUGCCUUAUCAUUGGUGAAGUUAACCUUGAACUUGGUUAAGGUGCUGUCUGCCAGGCCUCUUCACUGUAAAGUUACUGCUUUUCCCUCUUCAUACUCUGUUCUUUAAAAGUCAGCAGUCCAGUCCAUAUUCAAGAAGAGGUAAAUUAAGUUCCACCUCCUGAAAGUGUGUUCUACAUAUAUUAUUUGGAAUUUUUCUGUAAGGAAGAUUUGCUUCUUUUCUGCCAAGUAUUUAUUUAGUCAAUCAUUUAUUUAAAUCAACAUGGAUUUAUAGAUAUUGACUUUAUUUUUUAGGUUAUAAUCCAAUCCUCUCAUAUUUAUUUUGUUGCUCAAACUGUCCCAGCUUGGACCACUGGGAGACAUUUCAGGAUAAUAAUAUCCUGAAGGUGAUCAACAAUAUUGCAAUACCUAUUAUACAGUAGGUAGUUUUGGGAGCAUUUUAACAUGAUACCAAAUGUAAAAUGAAUCUACCUUAAAUUUAUAUAUGGAAAAAAUCAACUGAAGACCGAGAAGAUCACUUAAAAAUCAUAUGUAAUUAUGUAUUUCUUAAACCUUUAUACUUCAAAAAGCAACCUGACAUCACAGAUUGAGAAAAUGUAAUUACAUCUUCAACAGAAUGCUAUAGAAUAACAAUGUCAUUGUAAGGAAAAAGCAAAUAAUAAACCAGUCAGAAGUGCUACAAAAGAAAACACUGAGGAAAAAAUAGCAAAAUGUAAAGGUGUAAGAAUUUUAAUUGUCUGCAUUUCCUAACUUCCAUUCCUCAGCCUCCAGAAAUCUAACAUUUGCCACUAUACAAAUGGCUCUCAGACACAAGACAAACUAACCGCCAAAGCCAAUCAUCCACUUUCAGUACUUACCUAACCAAUCUCCCAUAACACUUGACACUCUUUUUUUUAAUUAAUUAAUUUUUUUUUUUUGAGACGGAGUUUCUCUCCUUGCCCAGGCUGGAGUGCAAUGGCGUGAUCUCAGCUCACCACAACCUCCACUUCCCAGGUUCAAGCAAUUCUCCUGCCUCAGCCUCCUGAAUAGCUGGGAUUAUAGGCAUGUGCCACCACGUCCGGCUAUUAUUUGUAUUUUUAGUAGAGAUGGGGUUUCGUCAUGUUGGUAAGGCUGGCCUUGAACUCCCGACCUCAGGUGAUCUGCCCGCCUCAGCCUCCCAAAGUUCUGGGAUUACAGGCGUGAGCCACCACGUCCACCCACUUGACACUCUUGACUAUAAUAAACUCACUUAAGAAACCCACUGAAUUCACCAUAAAUAUUGUCAUUCCUUCUCAUAGCCUUAAUAAUAAAGUAUCUAUAAUUAUCUUCAGGUUUUACCUCUCCUUUGAGCUACAGAUCCAUCUGUCCUACAAAACAGGCUUGAAAUCCAAAUUUAUUACCUAUUUCCAACCUUAUCCUUUUGCAUAUCUCAUUUCACUUAAUCACAUCAUCUCUACCUUGGCUCAGAGCCUCAUAAUAAGAGCCUCAUAAUAUUUUGUGGGAGCAGUUUCCAAACUGAUCUACCUGAUCUCUUUUCACUAAUCCAUCUAUCACACUGCUGUCAAUGUAAUCUCAACAAAUUAUUCCCCAUCUUAAAACCCUUAACUUCUCAUACCUUAUAAAGUAAACUCUAUACUCUUGGGAGUCUCAUAUAAACGAGGACUUUAUGAUCUGCCUAUCUUUCCAGUCCCAUCUCUUGGGUCCCAUAUCAAACCAUUAACACUUAACUAAGCACAGUAACACAUCCCCAUGCCCUUGCAAAGCUGAUAUCUAGUGUAAGAAACACGUGUCACACAUUAUUCUUCGCUGCUAAAUUCAAAACUCCCUCCUCCUUCCCAAGACCUUUAAAGUCAGUCCCUCACUUCUCUGCUCCCCAAAAUGCCUUGUAAGUAUCUCAAUAUUAAGAACCGUCAGGCUGUGCGCGGUGGCUCACACCUGUAAUCCCAGCACUUUGGGAAGCCGAGGCGGGUGGAUCACCAUAGGUCAGGAGUUCGAGACCAGCCUGGUCAACAUGGUGAAACUCCGUCUCUACUAAAAACACAAAAAUUAGCUGGGCAUGGUGGCACACACCUGUAAUCCCAGCUACUCAGGAGGCUGAGGCAGGAGAAUUGCUUGAGCCUGGGAGGCGGAGGUUGCAGUAAGCCAAGAUUGUGCCACUGCACUCCAGCCUGGCCAACAGAGUGAGUCUGUCUCAAAAAACAAAAAACAAAAAAAAACAAAAAAAAAAACUGUCAAUAACUAUUCAUAUACAUGUCUAAACUAUAAAUCAACUUUAAAGCAGAAAUUACCUUUUUUUUUUUUUUUCUGAGACAGAGUCUCGCUCUGUUGCCCAGGCCGGAGUGCAAUGGUGCAAUCUCGGCUCACUACAAUCUCCACCUCCUGGGUUCAAGUGAUUCUUGUGCCUCAGCCUCCCGAGUAGCUGGGACUACAGGCAUGUGCCACCAUGCCUGGCUAAUUUUUGUAUUUUUAGUAGAGGCAGGGUUUUACCAUGUUGGCCAGGCUGAUCUCGAACUCCUAACCUCAAGUGGCCCACCCACCUCGGCCUCCCAAAGUGCUGGAAUUACAGCAUGUUCCUUCUCCUGGCACACAAUAGGCACAAAAUAACUGUUUGCUGAAAGAACAGCUACCAUCAUAAGGGAAUAGUUAAGAAUAAAAAUCAAAUACAUAAAAUACUCCUAAACAAAACCAGUUCUGACUUUCAAAGGGAUCAAAACAAAAGAUAUCUGAGCCUGAAUUAAUAUUUUUAUUUAGUAUUCUGCUUAACUAAAAACUUUUCCUCGACUGGUUUUUGUUAAGACAACUAAACCUAUUCUCACAUCUACCUGAAAAAAGUAUAUUAAGUUUCUAUUAGAAAAUCAAGUCACAUCUCCAUGUACUUAUCAACAGUAAUUGUGAAGAAGAUGGAGAGAUUCCAAGAUAGAGAACAAUUAACAAAAGAAUUUAGACUUAUGAUCAAGUAAAGAAUAUAGCUGGUCUUUGUCCCUGGUUCCUGGCACAGAGUUUCAAAAACCCUUGUAAUUACCCAAGUGACAGGAAUGUCUCUGUUACGACAGUGAGAUGAAAGCCUGAGGUAACUUCAAGAUGGGGGCCGGUGACCAGAAAGACCAAAUCACAUAAUUAAAAAUCUGAAACUUUGGGUCACCCCAACCUCAAGGGAGUGGAGAACUGAAAAUUGAAUUAAAAAACAUGGCCAAUGAUCUAAUCAAUCCGGCCUACCUAACAGAGCCCCAAUAAAAACUCUGGACACUGAGGUUCACUGGAGCUUCCAGGUUGGUGAAUAUAGUGAUGUGCUGGGAGGGCAAUGUGCCCGGAUUCCACAAGGGGAAAGGCAUGGAGGUCUGUGGACCCUUCUUGCACCAAACACUGCUCUAUGUAUCUCUUCAACUAGUUGUUCUUGAUCUGCAUCCUUUGUAACAAAACUGUAAUCAUACUAUAGUGCUUUCACAAGUUCUGUGAGUCCUUUUAACAAGUUACCAAAAUUGAGGGGGUUGCACGAAGUUGCAAAUUUUUAGCAGGCCAGGCAGAAGUAUGGAUGUCUCAGGAACACCAAAAUUUGUGACUGGCAUCUGCAGUCUCAUGAUGAACUCUGCUCUUAACUUGAGGUCUUCACUAGCUUCAGGUAAUUUGUAUUCAGAAUUGAACUAAAUUGUACAACAUCCAAUUGGUGAUAGAGAACUAGUGUCAGAGCAGUGACUUCAGAGAGGUCUUUGUGGUUUCUGUAUGUUAUUUUAUAAAGAAGAAAAAAAGCCAAGUGCAGUGGCUCACACCUGUAAUCCCAGUACUCUGGAAGGCUGAGACAGGUGGUUCUCUUGCGGUCAGGAGUUUGAAACUAGCCUGGCCAAUACAGUGAAACCCCGACUCUACAAAAAAUUCAAAAAUUAGCCAAAUGUGGUGGUGCACUUCUGCAAUCCCAGCUACUCGGAGGCUGAGGCAGGAGAACAGCUUGAACCCAGGAGGCGGGUUUUGCAGUGAGCCUAGAUUACGCCACUGAACUCUAGCCUGGAUGACAGAGAGAGACUCCAUCUCAAAUAAAUAAAGAAGGAAAUUUUUAAAAAGACAAAUUCGUACUUAACACAGGUACUUUUGCAUAAACUUCCCUGCUAUCUUUCUCAUUCCCCAAGGACCCUGAAACCAGGUUCACAUCCACCAUUUUCACCCCAACUUCUGUAACUGUCCUCUUGGGUAAUUUCAAUGUCCAUGUAGAUGAUACAUUCAACAUCCUAACCUGUCAUCUCAUAUCACCUUCACCUCAAUUUACUCAUCCUUUAUAAUCUCCUUCUCAUGACUCUGAAAUUAGGGAUCUCAAAUCCAAAAGUUCCCUCUUUAAAUAGCUGAAGAGGGCCAGAUACAACACACAACAGAAAACAGUGAGGACUGUGGCGAACAAAAGAAUACAAGCAGCAAUGAAAAAGGGCCUGCCAAUACUGAGCCCCAGCCAUCCCUAUUAUCCACGAAAUGUGGACUAAUUGUUGCCAGAUGUUCUGAUUUUUCUGAGAAGCAGAAUUCCACAUUUUUAUGUAAAAUUGCUACAUUUUUUAAUAUGAGCAAUUUUUUAAAAAGUGUAGAGAUCAUCACAAAGAAUCACAUGUGGGCCAAAAGCUGACAGUUUUUUAAGCACUACUUUAAAUACUGCAGUUCCUCAGAGCUACCCAAGGCUGUUUGUUUUUCACUCCCUAUUCUCUCCCAAGGAAAAUAUCAUUACUCUCAUGAUUAUACAUAUAAAAAUUCACAAAGGUAUACAGUAUGUUUUGUUAUUGUAUGUGUUUCUAUAUAGUUAAAUAGCUCUUGUAUCAUUGAUAAAUACAAGAAUGAUACCAGAAUAUGGAAGUUGUAUUGGUUAAUACAUGACUUUUAAAGCACAUAAAUAUUUUGCAGGACAAAACUAGCAGCUGAACGAAGGAGUACACCAACACAAACUAAAUGAAGAAAGCCAUAAGCAAUGUAGUUCUGUUCAAAAUGUACAUUCAUCCACAUUCUUCCUCUUGGCUCCUACUGGCAACAGACUUUUCUGCAAGUGUUUUUAUUGUGUGGCUUCUCUCAAUGUUUGUACAAAAGAAACAAACAGGUACAAUACACUAGAACCAGCUAUGUCUGGCAUUGCUACAUUUAUCUACCAAUGACAUCCUUCUGUGCCUACAGUUGAGCAGCUUCAACCCUUCUUUAUAUCCCUACAAGCGACCUUCAUCUUUUCCUGGAAGGUUAAUGCCUAUAUUUAUUGUAGUAUUUCUAUUUUUUUUUUUUUUUUUUGAGACAGAGUAUCACUCUGCCAGCCCAGGCUGGAGUGAAGUGGCACGAUCACAGCUUACAGUAGCAGCCUUGAACUCCCGGGCUCAAGUGAUCAACUUGCCACAGCCUCCUGAGUAGCCAGGACUACAGGCGUAUGCCAUCAUGCCCAGCUAAUUUAAAAAACAUUUUUCUGUAGAGAUGGGAGGCUCCUAUGUUGCCCAGGCUGGUCUUCAACUCCUAGGCUCAAGUGAUACUUCAACCUCACCUCUCAAAGUGUUGAGAUUACAGGCAUUAGCCACCAUUCCCAGCCUCUUUAUUUAUUAAGACAUUUAGUCUUAACAAUAUAUAUACAUAUAUUUUUUUUGAGACAGACUCUCACACUGUCAUCCAGGCUGGAGUGCAGUGGCACAAUUUCGGCUCACUGCAACCUCUACCUUCCAGGUUCAAGGGAUUCUCCUGCCUCAGCCUCCCGAGUAGCUGAGACUACAGGCACAUACCAGCACUGCUGGCUAAUUUUUUUAUUUUAGUAGAGACAGGUUUCGCCAUGUUGGCCAGGCUGGUUUCGAACUCCUGACCUCAGGUGAUCUGCCUGCCUUGGUCUCCCAAAGUGCUGGGAUUACAGGCAUGAGCCAUUGUGCCUGGUCUAGUAUGUCUUUUUAACUGCUGUUUUUGAAAAUUAUUACUUUUCUUGAUGCUCUGCUUAUAAAGUUGCACAGGUUUUUGAGAGUCUGUUCCUAACUUUUAUUUCACCCAGAAGCCCUUUUUAGUGAAUGAUAUUGCCUAACACAAUUUUUCAAAUACUCAGAGGAAAUGCUCUUAUCUCCAGGUCAAGCUUCUCUACUAAGCCUGAGAACUAGAUACCCAACGACCUUCUCAAAUCCUCCGCUUCAACGUUCAGACACUUCAAACUGUAUGUAUUAAAAAGUGGCUCAGAGUGGUGACUCAGGCCUAUAAUCCCAGCACUUUGGGAGGGCAAGGUAGGAGGGUCCCUUUGAGCCCAGGAGUUCAAGAUCAGCCUGGGCGGCAUGGCGAAACCCCAUCUCUACAAAAAUACAAAGAAAUUAGCCUGGCAUUGGUGGCUUGCACCUGUAGUCCCAGCUACUCAGGAGGCUGAGGCUGGAAAAUGGCUUGAGCCCAGGAAACAGGUUGCAGUGAGCCAAGAUCGUGCCACUGCACUCCAGCCUGGGCAACAGAGUGAGAGCCUGUCUCAAAAACAAAAGAAAAAAAAAAACUGUGUUCUCCUCUAAAUCUGCUCCUCCUAUAGUCUUCUCUCUCUUAGUGCAUGUUAUCUCCAAUCUCCCAUAUGUUCAGACAUAAGCCUGCCACUAACCUAAUCUAAGCACCAUCAUGUUAUCUAGACUACUGCAAUUGCCUAUUAACCAGUUUCCUUCAAAUUAUUUUUAUCCUCUCCAUCCAGUGUUCAUGCAGAAGGCAAAAUCAUCAUUUAAAAAUGCAAACCUAAAAUCAAUACUCCUUUGUCUUUUGUUCUUAAUAUAAAAUCCAAAAUUCUUAACACAUUGUUUGGUCUCUUCUUUUGCCACAUUUCUCACUACUCUCUCUGUAUUUCCUCUUUCACCACGAUGAAGCUUUUUUCAGUUUAUCCAAUAUCUAAACUCCUUCCCAACUGAGAAUCUUAAAACAUGUUCUUCACUGUGGCUUUUUUUUUAUUUUUAUUUUUUGAGAUACAGUCUCACUCUGUUGCACUGGCGUGAUCUGGGCUCACUGCAAUCUCCGCCUCCUGGGUUCAAGCGAUUCUCCUGCCUCAGCCUCCCAAGUAGCUGGGACUACAGGCACGUGCCACCAUGCCCGGCUGAUUUUUGUAUUUUUAGUAGAGAUGGGGUUUCACCGUGUUGGCCAGCUGGCCUCAAACUCCUGACCUCAAGUGAUCUGGCCACCUCAGCCUCCCAAAGUUCUGAGAUUACAGGCGUGAGCCACCGCGCCUGGACUUCACUGUGGCUUCUCAUCCUUUAAGUCUCAACUUUUUAUCCUCAGCCAUAACUAGUAACUAUCUAAUUAGAUCCCCUUCUGCCAGCCCUUUAAUCUGUAUCAUAACACUCCAUGGUAUUAACUUUAUAGCAUUUUUCUCAAUUAAGCCAUUAUUUAUUUGCUUAUCACUCUAUGGUUUGUCUUCCUUCACUAAGCUGAAAAUUAUGAGGUCAGAUAUCAGGCAUUUACUAUUGUAUAUGCCAGUGACUAGAAUAGUCCUGUAUGUUUCAGGAAUUCAACAUAUGAACCAGUAAAUGAAUGAAUAAUGAAUGAGUCUGUUUAUCCAGUUAAAUGUUGCACAUCUGCCAGGUCUCAGUUUAGGAUCACCUUCUCAGGAAAGACUUCUCUGGGUUAGGCUCCCCAUUUCAUGCUGUACUCUCUCCCUUUUACAGUCCUUAUCACAAUUUUAACAACACGUAAUGUGAUUUUUUGUUUAUUAUCUACCUCCUCUACUAUAAUCUCCAUGACUCAAUGAACCUGUGUGCCUCAUUCUCUAUUAUAUAACAAGGGCCCACAAAGUAGAAUGCCUGGUAAAUACCUGAUAUUCAGUAACUAUUACUGAUUAAAUAAACUAUUUGUUGAAUGGACCUAAGCAUAAGACUUUUUCUCUCUUUACGUUGUUAAAAGCUGGCCGGGUGCAGUGGCUCAAGCCUGUAAUCCCAGCACUUUGGGAGGCCGAGGUGUGAGCCACUGCGCCUGGCCUAAUGCACAAGUUUUUAAUCUUUUAGGGGAAUAAUAAUAAUAACUAAUAUUUGCAUGCUUACUAUGUGAUUACUUUUCAUAAUACCCCUACAAAUCCCAUUAUAUAGGAGGUUUAGAGAAUAUACUGAGGUUUAGAGAAUUUACUUGGAAAAUCUGAUGAAAUUUUUCUAGAUUAUCACUAAAAAAGAUGCACAAACAUAUAUACCCGUAAUUUUACUUACAACAUCAGAGGGUUUAUGGACUUCCUAGAGUUAUUUUACAAACUCUUAGGCUUAAGAUCUCUCACAAAGAACUUCUAAUCUUUUAUUCGAGUGGCAAAUGCUUACUCUUUGUUUUCUAUCUUCUCAAUUCUUAAAAGGUGUAUAAUUAAGAGAGAAAAAGAUGUACAAUUCUUUCUAGAUGUACAAAUGCAUUUUCCAGAUUUCUUUUUUUUCUAUCUAAUUGAAGCAGCUUUUAUGAAAACAUCAAAAGGUAUGCUGCAAAAUGAAGUCUGUCUGAAUGAAUAUUCAGUUAAAUUUUACAAUGCUGAAAAUGUCCAAUGUUUGAAUUUUUAUUAUGAGACAUACAGUAUUAAUAACAUAUUCUUCCUGUAACAAAGAUGCAUUUAUAACUACUGGAUUAAUAUACAUUAAAAAUCCUUCCAGCAUUACCUUUUACCUCUUGGGGUGGUGGGGGCAGGGGGUGGUGGGAGAUCCUGCAUACUACUAACAGACCUAUGAGCCAUUUGUCUUUAUAAAAAUUGUGUAAUAACCUGUCUACAUAAAAAAGAUGAAUGAUUUUUCCUGGUUUCCAAAAGUUAUGUAUAUUUCUUUCUUUUUUUCUUUUUGACAAUAGCUCUUCUCAAAACAAAAAAAUAAUAUAGACAUUCCCUACUUCUUAAAUCUUAAGGAAAAGGAAUACUGAGAUUUCAAAAUACACUUAUUAAAAAACAAAAAAAGAUAUAUAUAUUAAAAGUUCAUCUACAUUUAUCAGGCACCUGUGGAAAAUAACCUAUUUCUUUAACAAAUAACAGGUAACAAAAUAA